rnacentral:rRNA from 1 species
ACUAACAAGGAUUCCCCUAGUAACUGCGAGUGAAGCGGGAAAAGCUCAAAUUUAAAAUCUGAGGGUCUUUAUGGCCUUCCGAGUUGUAAUCUAGAGAAGUGCUAUCCGCGCUGGACCGUGUACAAGUCUCCUGGAACGGAGCGUCAUAGAGGGUGAGAAUCCCGUCUUUGACACGGACUACCAGGGCUUAUGUGAUGCGCUCUCAAAGAGUCGAGUUGUUUGGGAAUGCAGCUCUAAAUGGGUGGUAAAUUCCAUCUAAAGCUAAAUAUUGGCGAGAGACCGAUAGCGAACAAGUACCGUGAGGGAAAGAUGAAAAGAACUUUGGAAAGAGAGUUAAACAGUACGUGAAAUUGUUGAAAGGGAAACGCUUGAAGUCAGUCGCAUUGGCCAGGGAUCAACCUUGCUUUUGCUUGGUGUAUUUUCUGGUUAAUGGGUCAGCAUCAAUUUUGAUCGGUGGAAAAAGAUCAAGGGAAUGUGGCAUCUUCGGAUGUGUUAUAGCCUUUGGUUGUAUACAUCGGUUGGGAUUGAGGAACUCAGCACGCCGCAAGGCCGGGUUUUUAACCACGUACGUGCUUAGGAUGCUGGCAUAAUGGCUUUAAUCGACCCGUCUUGAAACACGGACCAAGGAGUCUAACAUGCACGCGAGUGUUUGGGUGGAAAACCCGAGCGCGUAAUGAAAGUGAAAAUUGAGAUCCCUGUCGUGGGGAGCAUCGAUGCCCGGACCAGACCUUUUGUGACGGUUCCGCGGUUGAGCGUGUAUGCUGGGACCCGAAAGAUGGUGAACUAUGCCUGAAUAGGGUGAAGCCAGAGGAAACUCUGGUGGAGGCUCGUAGCGAUUCUGACGUGCAAAUCGAUCAUCAAAUUUGGGUAUAGGGGCGAAAG